UUCCCCCGAAGUAUAUCUAAUACAGUAUAUACAUUCAUACUGAGACAGCAGUUGUACCCACUGCUUAAAUGUUGUGUCCACUGCAUGUUUCCCAUUUUCGUCUACAGCUCAUCAAACCCAUUUCAAUUGCUCAAUUACUUCCCUUUUAAUUCUAUUUACCACAAACCUCGUUUGAUUCCAGUUCCCUUUUUUCUUUUUUCAAGAAAAUUUGUUCAUAAUUCAAUCAAGUCAAUGGACAAAGAGGUGCCAUUCUCAUAAGUUCAAAUCUAGCAAGAAGGAUUGGUGAAUGGAGCAUUGUUAUGGAGAAGAUGCUGAUAUAACUGAAUCAGAGAUUGAAGACUAUAAAGAAAAAUCAUAUGAAGAGUUGAGGUGUGGAAAUCAAUCUUUUAAGAUAUCAGAUGUGGCUUACACUUGUCCCUAUUGUCAAGAGAAAAGUGGGCGCCACCUUUUCUAUGAAGAUCUCUUGCAGCAUGCAAGUGGAAUAGGAAAGUCUAAAAUACGAACCGCAAGAGAUAGGGCCAACCAUCUUGCAUUGGCCAAGUAUUUAGAAAAUGAUGUAGCAGGUGCUGCUAUUCCAUCAAAAUCUAAUAAAGAGUUGAACAGUGGAAAUCACUCUUUUAGGAUAUCAGAUGUAGUUUUUGCUUGCCCAUAUUGUCCAGAGACAAGAAAAAGAGGUUUUUCUUUUAAGGAUCUGUUGCAACAUGCAAAUGGAAUAGGAAGCUCAAACUCUACGAAGCGAACUGCAAGAGAUACGGCGAACCAUCUUGCAUUGGCCAAGCGCUUGGAAAAUAAUGUAGCAGGUUCUUCCAGUUCAGCAAAAUAUUAUGAAGACUCGAGGAGUGGAAAUCACUCUCUUAAGAUAUCAAAUAUGGCUUUUGCUUGUCCCUAUUGUCCGGAGACAAGAGAAAGAGUUUUUUCUUAUAAGGAUCUCUUGCAGCAUGCAAAUGGAAUAGGAAACUCUAACUCUUUGAAGCGAACUGCAAGAGAUAAAGCGAACCAUCUUGCAUUAGCCAAGCGCUUGGAAAAAGAUGUAGCCAGUUCUGCCAGUUCAUCAAAAUCUUAUGAAGAGUCUAGGAAUGUAAAUCACUCUUUUAAGCUAUCAAAUAUGACUUUUGCUUGCCCCUACUGUCCAGAGACAAGAAACAGAGAUUUUUCGUACAUAGAUCUCUUUCAGCAUGUAUAUUCAGUGGGAAACUGUAACUCUAUAACGCGAACAGCAAGUGAUAAGGCCAACCAUCUUGCAUUGGCCAAGUCCAUGGAAAAUGAUUUAGCAGGUGCAGCUGGUCCAUCAAAAUCUUAUGAAGAGAUGAAGACUGGAAAUCACUCUCCUAAGAUACCAGAUAUGGCUUUUGCUCUUGCCUAUUGUCCAGAGACGAGAAACAGAGACUUUUUAUACAAGGAUCUCUUGCAGCAUGCGAGUGGAGUAAGAAAUGGUAACUCUAAGAAGCGAACUGCAAGAGAUAGUGCCAACCAUCUUCCAUUGGUCAAGCACUUGGAAUGUGAUGUAGCAGGUCCAUUGAAAGCUUAUGAAGAGUUGGAGAGUGGGAAACAAUCUUUUAACAUAUCAGAAAGGACUUUUGCUUGUGCCUAUUGUUCAGAUACAAGAAACAGAGAUUUUUCGUACAAAGAUCUCUUGCAGCAUGCAGUAGGAGUAGCAAGCUGUGACUCUAAGAAACGAACGGCAAGAGAUAAGGCCAACCAUCUUGCCUUGGCCAAGCACUUGCAAAAUUUUGCCACAUAUUUGGAAAAUGAUGUAGCAAGUGCUCCCAGUACAUCAAUUUCUUAUGAAAAAAUGAAGAGUAAUCACUCUUUUAACAAUUCAGAUGUCGCUUUUGCUUGCCCCUAUUGUCCAGAGACUAGAAACAAAGAUUUUUCAUAUAAGGAUCUCUUGCAGCAUGUUGGCGGAGUAGGAAGCUGUAACUCUAAGAAGCGAACUGCAAGGGAUAAGGCUAACCAUCUUGCAUUGGCCAAGUACUUGGCAAGUGAUGUAGCAGGCGGUGCUAGUUCAUCAAUACCUUAUGAAAAGUUGAAGAGUAGAAAUUACUCUUUGAACAUACCAGCUGUGGCUUACACUUUUGCCUAUUGUCCAAAGAAAAGAAAGCGAGAUUUUAUGUAUAAGGAUCUCAUGUUCCAUGUGAGGGAAGUUGGAAGCUGUAGCUCCAACAAGCGAAGUGCAAUAGAUAAAGCUAACCAUCUUACAUUGGCCAAGUACUUCGAAAAUGAUGUAGCACUUGCUGCCAGUCCAUCAAAAGCUGAUACUCUAGGUGAUCCUCAGGUUGAUACUCUUGCAAAUUAUGACCGUGCUGAGAUAUUUGUAUGGCCGUGGAUUGCAGUUGUUGUGAAUCUUCCCACUGAAUUUAAGGAUGGACGCUAUGUAGGAGAAAGUGGUUCCAAUCUGAAGGAUCAGUUGAUAAGGAGAGGUUUCAAUCCAACACGAGUGCGCACUCUAUGGACUGACCUAGGCCAUUCUGGAAUUGCUCUUGUUGAAUUCAAGAAAGAUUGGUCUGGGUUCUGUAAUGCCAUAUUAUUUGAGAAGGCCUAUGAGGCCGACUAUCAUGGUAAGAAGGACUGGGAAGCCAGUAAUGACAAAAAGUCUGAUCUUUAUGCUUGGAUAGCUCGAGCUGAUGAUUAUCAGGCUACUAAUGUUGUUGGUGAAAAGCUCCAGAAAUUUGGAGACCUUAGAACCAUUUCUAAUAUCAUGGAAGAAGAAUCUAGGAAGACUCGUAAGCUUGUUUCUAGUUUGACCAAUGCCAUUGAAGUCAAGAAGUUGAACUUAAAGAUGAUAGAGGACAAAUACCAGGAGACUUCCCAGUCUGUCGAACAGUUGAUUGUGGUGAAUGCUAAACUUCGUCAAUCAUACAAUGAAGAAAUAAAAAAAAUCCAGUCAAGUUCACGCGAUCAUUUCCAGCAGACAUUUAUUAAUCAUGAAAAGUUAAAAUUACAAUUGGAAACUCAAAAAAAGGAGCUUGAACUCCAACAUACAGAAUUGCAGAAACGUGAGGCCCGAAAUGAAAGUGAUAGGAAAAAAAUGUCCGAAGAUCUUGAACAGAAUGCUAUCCUAAAAACCUCCCUUAGUGCUGCGAUUGAAGAGCAAAGGAAUGUUGAUGAAAAAUUACCGAAAUUGGCAGAAGAACUGAAGAAACAAAAGGAGGAACUCCAUAAGAGAAUUAUUAAGCUUGAGAAACAACUUGUCGCGAAACAAGCAGGGGAAAUUGAAGUGGAGCGAUUGCGAGCGACUAUGAAGCAGAUUGAAGAAGAGGCCAAUCAGGAGGUUCUGCAAAAAGUUGACACAUUGCUUAAAGAUUUAAGAGAAAAGGAAGAAAAAUAUGAAGAUCUAGUGGCUUUGAACCAAACCUUGAUUGUGAAGGAACGAAAGAGCAAUGAUGAGCUGCAGGAAGCACUUAAAGAAUUGGUUAAUGGUUUGAAAGAAUUACCUAGAAAUGGUCCUAUUGGUGUUAAGAGGAUGGGAGAGCUCGACAGCAGACCAUUUCUUGAAGCAAUGAAGAGGAGAUAUAAUGAGGUAGAAGCAGAGGAGAUAGCUUCUGAGUUGUGCUCGUUGUGGGAGGAAUACCUUAGAGACCCUGAAUGGCAUCCCAUUAAAGUCAUUUCCAUAAAUGGGAAGCAUCAGGCUGUAAUUGAUGAUGAAGAUGAAAAACUGAAAGGCUUGAAGAAAACUUACGGUGAUGAAGUGUAUAAAGCUGUUACAACUGCUUUGACUGAGAUUAAUGUAUAUAACCCAAGUGGAGGAUACAUCAUCUCUGAGCUGUGGAAUUAUGAAGUUGCCGAGAAAGCUACUUUACAGGAGGGAGUUACUGUGUUACUAAACCUAUGGAAAAAGAAAAUGACACUCGACUGAACUUUGGAUGCUUCAUUGAGCUUUUCCUAACGUUCUUUAGGGACAGAAAAUUAAAGUGGAGAAUUGAAAAAUAUGGAGCAUAAGCUGGGGAGGAGGACAAGCUCGAGCUGCUUAAAGCAGGGUCUAUACUUCUCCGGGGUAGGUUAAGGUCUGCGUACACACUACCUCCCCCCAGACCCGACUUGUGGUAUUUUACUAGGUUGUUGUUGUUGUUUAUUCGGAGGUGAUCAAAUGGAUCAUUAGCCAAUCACAGCAAGAAUGGAAUUGAGGUGUCUUUGCUAAUUUGUGAUUGUUAUUUUUAUAUAAUAGCAAUAAAUCACUUAGGGAAAACUUUGGUAAAAAAGUUGAAGGCAAGGCUGCUACCAGUAAUUCUGUAGUCAACAAUGAUUUACAGAAUGCUUUUCUUGAUAUUUCUGGAAUUGUUAGGCAUUAUCAAUAUCAACUGUAAAGUGUUUUCUUAGCUUCUUCCCCUUCAACUCCACUUCAAUUCACUCUAUAAACUCUAUUCAUUCUCUUCGUAUCACAUUUUAUCUCAGCAUAAUAUAAUACAUAAAUUCUCGUAUAAUUUAAUGCAUGUAUUAUUUAAUACAGCCGUCUAUGCAGGAUAGUUAUGUCGGGAUUAUUUUUCCCAUACGGUCAAUCAAAUGUUGCAUCAAUUAUGUGGAGAUUGUUUUUCCUAAUCUCUUCAACUAAAAUUGUACAUUAUUUUGUUCAGAAUUUUAUGUGCGGAAUAGUUAUGUCAGGAUUAAUUUUUUUCCCAUAUGGUCAACCAAAUGUUGCAUCAAUUAUGUAGAGAUUGUUUUCCCUAGUCUCAGCAACUAAAAUUGUACAUUAUUUUGUUCAGA